CAGAGACCACUGUAGAGAGCAAGCUGACAAGGAGUGGAAGACCAUUAUGGAGGGCAGCCUUUGAAUGAGUGGUAGUUGGUAAUGGCAGACACCACUGUGCCAACCUCAUGUGUGCGUUCACCAGAAACUGGGGCUUCCACAUCAAAAUGGAUGGCACAGAAUCCAGAAACAGGUCCCUAGGAUACCAUCUGAGCUCUGAGAUGUACUAGAGGCCAGAUCUACUGGCAGGACUUUGAAAUGAUUGCAACACCAGCCAGAAAAUGACUUCACAAGAUAGAACUAGCACAAAAUAGAAAUGAAUGGAGAACAAGAGACCUUACCAGUAAACAAAGAAACUCAAGUUACAGUGAGAAUGAUUUUACCCUGAUUACAAUGUCCCAUAAAAAAAAACUUUUAAAAUGACAACAGCCAACUUUAACAACAAUUGUAAUGAAAAAGGUACAUUCGUAUAUUACUUGUGACACUAUGUCUCUCUUAGGGUUUCUAUUGCUGUGAAGAGACACCAUGACCAA